GGGAAUAUUGCGCAAUGGGCGAAAGCCUGACGCAGCGACGCCGCGUGAGGGAUGACGGCCUUCGGGUUGUAAACCGCUUUCGCCUGUGACGAAGCGUGAGUGACGGUAAUGGGUAAAGAAGCACCGGCUAACUACGUGCCAGCAGCCGCGGUAAUACGUAGGGUGCGAGCGUUAAUCGGAAUUACUGGGCGUAAAGCGCGCGUAGGCGGAUUGAUCAGUCAGGGGUGAAAUCCCGGGGCU
rnacentral:rRNA from 1 species